AUUGAACGCUGGCGGCAUGCCUUACACAUGCAAGUCGAGCGGUAACGGGCCUUCGGGUGCCGCCGAGUGGCGAACGGGUGAGUAAUACAUCGGAACGUGCCCGAUCGUGGGGGAUAACGAGGCGAAAGCUUUGCUAAUACCGCAUACGAUCUACGGAUGAAAGCAGGGGACCGCAAGGCCUUGCGCGGACGGAGCGGCCGAUGGCAGAUUAGGUAGUUGGUGGGAUAAAAGCUUACCAAGCCGACGAUCUGUAGCUGGUCUGAGAGGAUGAUCAGCCACACUGGGACUGAGACACGGCCCAGACUCCUACGGGAGGCAGCAGUGGGGAAUUUUGGACAAUGGGCGCAAGCCUGAUCCAGCCAUGCCGCGUGCAGGAUGAAGGCCUUCGGGUUGUAAACUGCUUUUGUACGGAACGAAAAGCCUUCUUUUAAUACAGGAGGGUCAUGACGGUACCGGAAGAAUAAGCACCGGCUAACUACGUG
rnacentral:rRNA from 1 species